rnacentral:rRNA from 1 species
CAGACCUCUAAUCGGAAAAGACUACCCGCUGAGUUUAAGCAUAUCACUAAGCGGAGGAGAAGAAACNAACCAG